GACGAGGGAUCCUAGCGUUGUUCGGAAUUACUGGGCGUAAAGGGCUCGUAGGUGGCCAACUAAGUCAGACGUGAAAUCCCUCGGCUUAACCGGGGAACUGCAUCUGAUACUGGAUGGCUUGAGUUCGGGAGAGGGAUGCGGAAUUCCAGGUGUAGCGGUGAAAUGCGUAGAUAUCUGGAGGAACACCGGUGGCGAAGGCGGCAUCCUGGACCGGCACUGACGCUGAGGAGCGAAAGCCAGGGGAGCAAACGGG
rnacentral:rRNA from 1 species